UACGUAGGUGGCAAGCGUUGUCCGGAUUUAUUGGGUUUAAAGGGUGCGUAGGCGGUUCUCUAAGUCAGUUGUGAAAUACUUCAGCUUAACUGGAGAGGUGCAAUUGAUACUGGAGAACUUGAGUACUGAUGAGGUAGGCGGAAUGGACGGUGUAGCGGUGAAAUGCUUAGAUAUCGUCCAGAACACCGAUAGCGAAGGCAGCUUACUAAGGAGUAACUGACGCUGAGGCACGAAAGUGUGGGGAGCAAACAGG
rnacentral:rRNA from 1 species